ACAGGUGAGGUUCUUGGGAACU
rnacentral:miRNA from 1 species